rnacentral:rRNA from 1 species
GAUGAACGCUGGCGGCGUGCCUAAUACGUGCAAGUCGAGCGAACGGACGAGAAGCUUGCUUCUCUGAUGUUAGCGGCGGACGGGUGAGUAACACGUGGAUAACCUACCUAUAAGACUGGGAUAACUUCGGGAAACCGGAGCUAAUACCGGAUAAUAUUUUGAACCGCAUGGUUCAAAAGUGAAAGACGGUCUUGCUGUCACUUAUAGAUGGAUCCGCGCUGCAUUAGCUAGUUGGUAAGGUAACGGCUUACCAAGGCAACGAUGCAUAGCCGACCUGAGAGCGUGAUCGGCCCCACUGGAUCUGAGACACGGUCCAGACUCCUACGGGAGGCAGCAGUAGGGAAUCUUCCGCAAUGGGCGAAAGCCUGACGGAGCAACGCCGCCUGAGUGCUGAAGGUCUUCGGAUCGUAAAACUCUGUUAUUAGGGAAGAACAUAUGUGUAAGUUACUGUGCACAUCUUGACGGUACCUAAUCAGAAAGCCACGGCUAACUACGUG